GUACGGCGAGUGAAGCGGCAAAAGCUCAAAUUUGAAAUCUGGUACCUUCGGUGCCCGAGUUGUAAUUUGGAGAGGGCAACUUUGGGGCCGUUCCUUGUCUAUGUUCCUUGGAACAGGACGUCAUAGAGGGUGAGAAUCCCGUGUGGCGAGGAGUGCGGUUCUUUGUAAAGUGCCUUCGAAGAGUCGAGUUGUUUGGGAAUGCAGCUCUAAGUGGGUGGUAAAUUCCAUCUAAAGCUAAAUAUUGGCGAGAGACCGAUAGCGAACAAGUACAGUGAUGGAAAGAUGAAAAGAACUUUGAAAAGAGAGUGAAAAAGUACGUGAAAUUGUUGAAAGGGAAGGGCAUUUGAUCAGACAUGGUGUUUUGUGCCCUCUGCUCCUUGUGGGUAGGGGAAUCUCGCAUUUCACUGGGCCAGCAUCAGUUUUGGUGGCAGGAUAAAUCCAUAGGAAUGUACUUGCCUCGGUAAGUAUUAUAGCCUGUGGGAAUACUGCCAGCUGGGACUGAGGACUGCGACGUAAGUCAAGGAUGCUGGCAUAAUGG
rnacentral:rRNA from 1 species